rnacentral:rRNA from 1 species
GAUGAACGCUGGCGGCGUGCCUAAUACAUGCAAGUCGAGCGAAAAGACGAGGAGCUUGCUCCUUUGACGCUAGCGGCGGACGGGUGAGUAACACGUAGGUAACCUACCUAUAAGACGAGGAUAACUUCGGGAAACCGGAGCUAAUACCGGAUAAUAUUUCGAACCGAAUGGUUCGAUAGUGAAAGAUGGCUUUGCUAUCACUUAUAGCUGGAAUUGCGCCGUAUUAGCUAGUUGGUAAGGUAACGGCUUACCAAGGCAACGAUACGUAGCCGACCUGAGAGGGUGAUCGGCCACACUGGAACUGAGACACGGUCCAGACUCCUACGGGAGGCAGCAGUAGGGAAUCUUCCGCAAUGGGCGAAAGCCUGACGGAGCAACGCCGCGUGAGUGAUGAAGGUCUUCGGAUCGUAAAACUCUGUUAUUAGGGAAGAACAAACGUGUAAGUAACUGUGCACGUCUUGACGGUACCUAAUCAGAAAGCCACGGCUAACUACGUGCCAGCCGCCGCGGUAACAC